rnacentral:rRNA from 1 species
GACGUAGGGGGCGAGCGUUGUCCGGAUUUAUUGGGCGUAAAGCGCGCGUAGGCGGCUGCGCAAGUCGGUUGUGAAACCCCGGGGCUCAACCCCGGAACUGCAUCCGAUACUGCGUGGCUAGAGGUAGUUAGGGGAGAUCGGAAUUCCUGGUGUAGCGGUGAAAUGCGCAGAUAUCAGGAGGAACACCGGUGGCGAAGGCGGAUCUCUGGGCCUUACCUGACGCUCAGGCGCGAAAGCUAGGGGAGCGAACAGG